UAAAAAUUAAAAAAGAAUGUAAAGGAAAAUACACUAAAUGAGAGAAGAAGGAGACAAAGACAAAAUAGAAGUUAGAGAAGGGGAAGAAUAGAUUGCUGAAUAAAGAGGAGUCAAGUGCUAAGCAGAGGAGUAUGAAAGAUAAUAGGUGAGAGGAGACUGAAUGGAGGAAGAUUGAAGGCUUUUGAAAGGAAAAUGAAUACAGAGAAGAGA